GGCCGUGUGCCCGAGUGGUGAGGGGGCCGCCUGCAAAGCGGCUUACAUUGGUUCAAUUCCAAUCACGGCCU
rfam:Streptomyces sp. NRRL F-4489 P373contig59.1, whole genome shotgun sequence.